rnacentral:tRNA from 1 species
GGGCCCAUAGCUCAGUGGUGAGAGCGUUCGUAUGGCAUGCGAAAGGUCGUGGGUUCAAAUCCCACUGGGUCCA